ensembl:lncRNA
UGCUCCUCCUUUUGAUGCCUUUUCAUGCUAAUCAGGCGGCAUCUCCGAAAAGGUCAAAGUAGCAACAUGCUCCUCGUGCCCAACAAAAACCCGCAGCUGCAGCUCCGCGAGAACACUGGAACCGUGUCGGCGUGCAGGAGGAGGGGAACGUGGACGGGAGCAUCCAUCAACGUGAGUACUCGCCGUGUUCAAGGCAAACUGCAUUCUGUGCAACACGCGCUCCGCGUGCUGCUGCUGCUCUGGCACACGCUUUGUUUUCCCUGAUUGCUGGGAAGGAAUUCAAAUGUCAUAAGGCGGACGGUGCAUGAGGCUGUUACGGGGAAGAGGCUCUGAUGACGACGUGACUGACAGUCUGAGGCGAAACCGAUUCUCC